AACGAACGCUGGCGGCAGGCCUAACACAUGCAAGUCGAGCGCCCUUACGGUGAAGCGGCGGACGGGCGAGUAGCGCGUGGGAAUAUGCUCUUCUCUACGUCAUAGCCUCGGGAAACUGAGAGUAAUACCGAAUAAGCCCUGUGGGGGAAAGGUAUAUCGGGUAAGGAUUAGCCCACGUUGGAUUAGGUAGUUGGUGGGGUAAUGGCCUACCAAGCCGACGAUCCAUAGCGGGGAUGAGAGGAAGAUCAGCCACACUUGGACUGGGACACGGCCCAGACUCUUACGCGAGGCAGCAGUGGGUGAUCCUGGACAAUGGGGUCAAUCCUGAUCUAGCCAGGCUGGGUGAGUGAUGAAGUCCGUAGAGAAGUAAAGCUCUUUAAGCUGGGACGAUAAUGACGGUACCAGCAGAAGAAGCCCCGGCUAACUCCGUG
rnacentral:rRNA from 1 species